rnacentral:tRNA from 1 species
GGGGAUAUAGCUGAGUGGCAAAGCACUUGCCUAGCAAGUGAGAGGCCUUGGGUUCCAUCCCUAGCACCA